rnacentral:rRNA from 1 species
UACGAAGGGGGCUAGCGUUGCUCGGAAUCACUGGGCGUAAAGGGUGCGUAGGCGGGUCUUUUAAGUCAGGGGUGAAAUCCUGGAGCUCAACUCCAGAACUGCCUUUGAUACUGAGGAUCUUGAGUUCGGGAGAGGUGAGUGGAACUGCGAGUGUAGAGGUGAAUUCGUAGAUAUUCGCAAGAACACCAGUGGCGAAGGCGGCUCACUGGCCCGAUACUGACGCUGAGGCACGAAAGCGUGGGGGAGCAAACAGG